AGUCCUACGGGGCGCAGCAGUGGGGAAUAUUGCACAAUGGGGGAAACCCUGAUGCAGCGACGCCGCGUGAAGGAUGAAGUAUUUCGGUAUGUAAACUUCUAUCAGCAGGGAAGAAAAUGACGGUACCUGACUAAGAAGCCCCGGCUAACUACGUGCCAGCAGCCGCGGUAAUACGUAGGGGGCAAGCGUUAUCCGGAUUUACUGGGUGUAAAGGGAGCGUAGACGGUAUGGCAAGUCUGAUGUGAAAACCCGGGGCUCAACCGCGGGACUGCAU
rnacentral:rRNA from 1 species